rnacentral:rRNA from 1 species
CCCUUAGAUGUUCUGGGCCACACGCGCGUUACACUGAUGAAGCCAGCGAGUAUAUCGCCUUCACCGGAAGGUGCGGGUAAUCUUGUGAAACUUCAUCGUGCUGGGGAUAGACCAUUGCAAUUAUUGGUCUUGAACGAGGAAUUUCUAGUAAGCAUGAGUCAUCAACUCGUGCUGAUUACGUCCCUGCCCUUUGUACACACCGCCCGUCGCUACUACCGAUUGAAUGGUUUAGUGAGAUCUCGGGAUUGGAGACGUUGCGCCGCAAGGCACAUCGUCCUCGAGAACUUGAUCAAACUUGAUCAUUUAGAGGAAGUAAAAGUCGUAACA